rnacentral:rRNA from 1 species
UAAAAACUUUCAACAACGGAUCUCUUGGCUCUGGCAUCGAUGAAGAACGCAGCGAAAUGCGAUACGUAAUGUGAAUUGCAGAAUUCAGCGAACCAUCGAAUCUUUGAACGCACAUUGCGCCCGCCAGUAUUCUGGCGGGCAUGCCUGUCCGAGCGUCA